AGGACGAACGCUGGCGGCGUGCUUAACACAUGCAAGUCGAGCGGAAAGGCCCACUUGUGGGUACUCGAGCGGCGAACGGGUGAGUAACACGUGAGUAAUCUGCCCUUCACUUGGGGAUAACGUCCAGAAAUGGGUGCUAAUACCCGGUAUUCACUGUUCCACGCAUGUGGGGUGGUGGAAAGGUUUUCUGGCUAGGGAUGGGCCCGCGGCCUAUCAGCUUGUUGGUGGGGUCAAGGCCCACCAAGGCGACGACGGGUA
rnacentral:rRNA from 1 species